GGGGCGUUAGCUCAGUUGGUCAGAGCACAGGACUCAUAAUCCUUUGGUCGCGGGUUCAAGUCCCGCACGCCCUA
rnacentral:tRNA from 2 species